UACGGAGGGGCCAGCGUUGUUCGGAAUUAUUGGGCGUAAAGGGCGCGUAGGCGGCCGGAUAAGUCUGAUGUGAAAUCCCACGGCUCAAUCGUGGAACUGCAUUUGAAACUGUUCGGCUCGAGUCCGGAGAGGGUAGUGGAAUUCCCAGUGUAGCGGUGAAAUGCGUAGAUAUUGGGAGGAACACCGGUGGCGAAGGCGGCUACCUGGACCCGGUGACUGACGCUGAGGCGCGAAAGCGUGGGGAGCGAACAGG
rnacentral:rRNA from 1 species